GAUGAACGCUGGCGGCGUGCUUAACACAUGCAAGUCGAACGAUAAAGCCCAGCUUGCUGGGUGGAUUAGUGGCGAACGGGUGAGUAACACGUGAGUAACCUGCCCUUGACUCUGGGAUAAGCCCGGGAAACUGGGUCUAAUACCGGAUAGGAGCGCCUGUCGCAUGACGGGUGUUGGAAAGAUUUUUCGGUCAUGGAUGGACUCGCGGCCUAUCAGCUUGUUGGUGAGGUAAUGGCUCACCAAGGCGACGACGGGUAGCCGGCCUGAGAGGGUGACCGGCCACACUGGGACUGAGACACGGCCCAGACUCCUACGGGAGGCAGCAGUGGGGAAUAUUGCACAAUGGGCGGAAGCCUGAUGCAGCGACGCCGCGUGAGGGAUGACGGGCCUUCCGGGUUGUAAACCUUCUUUCAAGUAAGGG
rnacentral:rRNA from 1 species